ACCACCUUCACACCACCCUCCUAUUGUUAAGCCACCAGUUCACAAACCACCAAAGCAUUCUCCUACUCCUAAACCACCAGUUCAUAAACCACCAAGAUAUCCUCCUAAACCAUCACCUUGUCCACCCCCAUCAUCAACACCAAAACCACCUCAUCAUCCCAAACCCCCAGCAGUACACCCACCACAUGUUCCAAAACCACAUCCACCUUAUGUUCCAAAACCACCAAUUGUUAAACCUCCAAUAGUACAUCCACCUUACGUACCAAAACCCCCAGUUGUGAAACCACCACCAUAUGUCCCUAAACCACCUGUUGUGAGACCACCCUAUGUUCCUAAACCACCAGUUGUACCUGUAACACCACCUUAUGUUCCUAAGCCACCAAUUGUUUUCCCACCACAUGUUCCUCUACCUCCAGUUGUACCAUCACCACCACCUUAUGUACCAACACCUCCAAUUGUGAAACCACCAAUUGUUUUUCCACCACAUGUUCCUCUACCUCCAGUUGUGCCUGUAACACCACCUUAUGUGCAACCACCACCUAUUGUAACUCCACCAACACCAACACCUCCAAUUGUGACACCACCAACACCACCUAGUGAAACACCUUGUCCUCCACCACCACUUGUACCUUAUCCACCACCACCAGCACAACAAACAUGUUCCAUUGAUGCUUUGAAGUUGGGUGCAUGUGUUGAUGUGCUUGGUGGACUCAUACAUAUUGGUAUAGGUGGAAGUG
rnacentral:lncRNA from 1 species